GGCAGGGUCGCUUAGUCUGGCCAUAGCGCCUGAUUGAGAUUCGGGUGGGGCUCCCCAGUCCCUCGCGGGUUCGAACGUCGAUCCCCCAGACAUGGAAGUCCCGCCCCUGCCG
rnacentral:tRNA from 1 species